rnacentral:rRNA from 1 species
AGUGAACGCUGGCGGCAGGCCUAACACAUGCAAGUCGAACGGCAGCACAGGAGAGCUUGCUCUCUGGGUGGCGAGUGGCGGACGGGUGAGGAAUACAUCGGAAUCUGCCUAUACGUGGGGGAUAACGUAGGGAAACUUACGCUAAUACCGCAUACGUCCUACGGGAGAAAGCGGGGGAUCGCAAGACCUCGCGCGGAUAGAUGAGCCGAUGUCCGAUUAGCUAGUUGGCGGGGUAAUGGCCCACCAAGGCGACGAUCGGUAGCUGGUCUGAGAGGAUGAUCAGCCACACUGGAACUGAGACACGGUCCAG